AAUAGAUACCCUGGUAGUCCACGCCGUAAACGAUGGAUACUAGCUGUUGGAGGUAUCGACCCCUCCAGUAGCGAAGCUAACGCGUUAAGUAUCCCGCCUGUGGAGUACGGUCGCAAGACUAAAACAUAAAGGAAUUGACGGGGACCCGCACAAGCGGUGGAUUGUGUUCUUUAAUUCGAUGAUAAACGAUAAACCUUACCAGGGUUUGACAUCCCAAGAAUUUUGCCGAAAGGCAAGAGUGCUUUAUUGAACUUGGUGACAGCUGUUGCAUGGCCGUCGUCAGCUCGUGUCGUGAGAUGUUAGGUUAAGUCCUUCAACGAGCGCAACCCUUGUGAUUAGUUGUAUUUUCUAAUCAGACUGCCCCGGUAACGGGGAGGAAGGAGGGGAUGAUGUCAGGUCAGUAUUACGCUUACAUCCUGGGCUAGAAACGCAAUACAAUGGCCAGUACAAUGCGCUGCGAAACCGCGAGGUGAAGCAAAUCGCAUCAAAGCUGGUCCCAGUUCGGAUAAGAGGCUGAAACUCGCCUCUUCGAAGUCGG
rnacentral:rRNA from 1 species